rnacentral:lncRNA from 1 species
GAGAAGGAGAGUGAACGUCUUGGAGCUCAAAUAGAAACAUAGCAACGUGUUGCACGGUCUGUAAUCAGUCAUCCUUUUAACAUAUUAAUGAAGCAGUAGAAAGAAAAAUAAAGAACAUUUCAUCCUUCAAACCAAGGACUUGCCAUGUCUUAUCAUUACAAUGAAGCCUUUGAAAAUCCAGACUACCACUUCUCAGAGACAUUGGAAAUUGAUAGAAGAGGGAGCUCUCAGAGGAACCCAUUCUCUCACCAAACUCCUCAUGAUUCAUCUCAGUCUGAUUACUAUGGAGAGCACAGAGGCAGGGAGCAGAACUACCCUGUGGCCAUCCCAAUGUCUUCCCUGGGCCCUGGCUCUGACUACAGCCACGAUUUACCCAGCACAAGCCCAUAUGGAAAUUUCACAGAAAAUCUUUCCUUUGAGCCUGAGCCAGAACUGACUUACACCCCACAUUCUACCUCCCAUAUGCUGGAUUAUCCCUACACUCAUGGAAUUUCCAGUGGAUCAGAGGGUAAGGAUUGUGGUGCAUCACAAUAUUGCAUGUCAGUCUUGCCCUCCAUAAAAUAAUACUAAUAAAUAUUUUAAAGCCUUCUUGUUCA